GAUGGAACGUAGCGAAAUGCGAUAAGUAAUGUGAAUUGCAGAAUUCAGUGAAUCAUCGAAUCUUUGAACGCACAUUGCGCCCGCCAGUAUUCUGGCGGGCAUGCCUGUUCGAGCGUCAUUUCAACCAUCAAGCCCCAGGCUUGUGUUGGGGACCUGCGGCUGCCGCAGGCCCUGAAAACCAGUGGCGGGCUCGCUGUCACACCGGGCGUAGUAGAUUUUAUCUCGCUCAGGGCGUGCUGCGGGUUCCGGCCGUUAAAAAGCCUUUUUUACCCAAGGUUGACCUCGGAUCAGGUAGGAAGACCCGCUGAACUUAAGCAUAUCAAUAAGCGGAGGA
rnacentral:misc_RNA from 1 species